UCAGGAGUGUCAGCAAGAUUAGUCUACCUGGCUCUGACAAAGAGUUUUGCUUUAAGAGGAAAAGCAGAAAUGGGGUGGGGGGGGCGCCCAAAGGAGGUGUCUUGCUUUUUAAGGUAGGAGCGAAAACACCCUAAGUGUGGAGAGUUGGUUUAACGCGGUCUGGGACUUUGCCGAGAGAGCCCAGAAGGUGAGAGGGGGCAGGGGUGGGGGUGACAACAGCGUGGUCUUGAUAAAGGGCUGCUGCGUGCAAUGUGGGCACGUGGUCAGGGAUGCCGACAGGGUGGAUGGAGAGGCUGAGCGUCAAACAAAGAGGUGGGAGAAUCAACAGAGUCUAGGCCCUGGCGGGGGUGAGCAAUUACAGGAGAUGGCGUAAGAAAGAAUGAAAUUGGAAGGACAAGAAAAACGGGAAUUCAGAGCGGCGACAUUACCACUGAGGGCAAACAAGAGGGCUGCCGUCGGGGACACGGGGUUCAGGGCAUGGCCUUGGGCGCUGCGUGAGCGACUGCAACAGGCGAGCAGGGAGGUGUCACCGCGAGCCCGCGAUCUCCAAGCCCUCCGGUGGCGGAGAGCGGCCAGAUGUGACCCGGCCUUCCCGCGGCUUCGCUGCCGCCACGGUGGCCUCCGUGCGCCCGUGCCCGCCGCCCGGGUCUCCCGGCCCGGCUCACCCUCCCCCGCCCCACCGUCCCCGGCAGCUUCCGCUCUCGGCGCUGUCGUCUUCCAGGUCUAGGACGCGGGAGUGUCCUCGAGACGGACCUGCAGCUCCCCGUGAUCGAGGCUGGGACACGUGGGGGGACCGACAGAUAACGCCGGAGAGGAGGCGUGAGCACAGCCUCAGAGCAGGAGGACUCUCAGGGAGGUGAGGGGGAAAAGUCUGGAGUAGCUAUGAAGGAGGAGAAGGAGGAGGACAGCUUGCUUUCCGCUGGAGAGUUGGAUAAAAUAGGAAACUUAUUAAGGUUAUUGGGAGAUCUUACAUCCGGUGAGUCCUGGCUGCAUCUACUCACUUCCAGGUGCACAUACGCUGUUUGGUUUGUGGUUUUAGUUCAGUGGACCAUCCAGAAACUGGGACCUGUGGUGCCGACAUGACCGUCUAGCACCUCUGACGUCCCCAUGUGCGGAGCGGACUCGGGUACCGCCUGCCGCCCUGUGAGCUGUGUCCUCUACCAGGGCCCUGGUCGUCGACUCCAAGGCCACAGCAGCCGUUAGUCCGGGGGAAGGCGUCUGCCUGCUGUGUCAGGAGGCGAAAUACCACAGCAGGUGACGUCUAGGAGGAAACAGCCGAUGCUUAGAAUUAAUAUGUAAGAGAAAUAAAUGUCUUCCGUCUUCCUGAAUGGCCUCGAGUCCUUUUCUGUUGGCCUUCUGGGCGAGAAGAGGUCUCGUGAAGCCAUGAUCCGUGAUCUAUGGAUCUCCAAAAAGGGCUGGGAAGAAGACACUGUAUAAAAUAAUGGCCGGGGUUUUGAAAAGCCAUGUUCCCAUAAUACCAUUCACCUUUGCUAAGUAAUGUUUCAGUUCUGAAAUGGCACCAAGAGACAUUUCAAAUUAGUAGCUUGGUCACUUUUGAGCAAAGAGCAAUGAAUAAUAAAUAGUACAUUCUAAUACCAAAUAACAAAUAAGAAGAACACAAAAUGUUAAUCACAGGAAAAACCUUGUGCUCAUUUGAGGUGGCGGGAAGUGUGCCCACAACAUGUGGAAAUUCCCAGGCCAGGGAUCAAACCCGAACCACAGCAGGGACAACAUCAAGCUGCUGCAGUGACAAUGUCAGACCUUUAACCUGCCUGUGCCACAAGGGAACUCCACACUUUACUCAUUUUAAUCAUCUGUGUUUUAAUUUCUAAAAAAAAAAAUCAAAUACUUUCAUCCCUUAUUUCCAUGAAAUAUCGUGUCUAGUGACUGCAGUGAGUAGAAAGCACUGUUCUGCUACUCAUUUUUUUUUUUUUUGUCUUUUUAGGGCUGCACCCUCAGCAUAGGGAGGUUCCCAGACUAGCGGUCCAACUGGAGCUUUAGCCGCCAGCCUACGACACAGCCACAGCAACUCUGGAUCCAAGCCACAUCUGUGACCUACACCACAGCACACGACAAUGCUGGAUCCUUACUCCACUGAGCAAGGCCAGGGAUUGAACCUGGAACCUCAUGGAUCCUAGUUGGGUUUGGUAACUGCUGAGCCAUGACAGGAGUUCUGCUGUUCUAAAAGGACUGACUUAUAAGUUACAUGCCAAAAAAAGGGGAGACUUUAGGCAGCUAAAAAGAACAGUUUUUUGAAGCAGAAGUACCAUACCUUAUAACGUGAUUUCAUAAUGGUUUGGGGGAGUAACAUAUUGGGUCAACUUGCAUGAGCUGCUCCGUCAAUCAAAAAAAAGGGUUUCAGGGAGUUCCCACUGUGGCCCAGUUGGUUAAGAACCCAAAUAGUAUACACAAGGAUGCAGGUUCAGUCCUUGGCCCCGUUCAGGGGUUAAAGGAUCCAGUGUUGCUACAAGCCGUGGCACAGGCUGGCGACUUCAUCUCUGAUUCGACCCCUAGCCUGGGAACCUCCAUAUGCUGUGGNAAAAAAAAAAAAAAAAAAAAAAAAAAAAAAAAAAAAAAAA
rnacentral:lncRNA from 1 species